CGAGCUGAGCCGAGCCUGAUCGAGCCCGAGCCGGCUCGCGAGCCUCGAGCUUUUUUUCCAGCCCUAGGCAGGAGCAAGGAGGAUGAGAGAGAUCUCCAGAGUUCCACGCCUCCACCAGACCACCACCCAUUUGUCCCCGACCCCGACCGCUGCUGCACAUCAUCCUCCCGCCGCUCGGCGUCUUCCUCCGAUUCGGCUGCUGCAGAGAGCAGACUAUUCAAUCCGUAACAGUGGUGCUACAAGAGAAUGGGAUGUACCUGUAUUCCUGAACCCUGAGAGCAAUUAAUCCUGAGAGCAAUUAACCGGUCUCCGUUCGCAGCCCCCUCCACUUCCUCUGCAGCUCCGGUGAUAUGGGCAGUGGAUUCGGGUGCCGCCAGAUCUUGCGCCUCAUCCCGUGAUCUGGAGGCGGCACGUCUUCAUGUCGAUGAUGAUAGCCCAGCGUGCAGCCAGCCAAAUAUGUUAUCAGAAUGAUUCUGUUUCCCGGUGCUGAUUGCUCGUGCACAUGUGCAUGCAGCCCAGCGAUUCGGAUAGAUCGCGAGCACCUGUGUAGACUGUUUGCAGCGGAUGCUGCUCUGGAACUGGAAGCUUUGUUUAAUGACACCUUCGGAUUGCAAGGACCUGCACCCUUACCUGCCCACUUGAGCGUAUCCGCGUAUAUGCUUUGCUCACUUGUCCGGAUAAUCUGGUACACUGAUGAUAUAUGCUGGUUGAUUCAGCCGUAGUGUAUUUAUUCUGAAAAAAAAUAUCACAUCUGAUUCUCUUCUUGAUU